rnacentral:lncRNA from 1 species
ACAGAAGAGGCGGCUCUGGUAUGAAGUAAGCUGAUCAAAGAUCCAGGUAAUCCAUUGUAAAAAAAAUCCAUGUUAGGAUCUAGAAUAAAAUUUUGAAUUUUUAAUAGUGUCCAAACUUCUAUUGUGACAGGACAUUCGCGAAAAAUAUGGUCGAUUGUUUCAGCCAUUUCUCCACAUCGGGGGCAGCUUGUACUACUAACAAGUUUUCGGUGCUGCAUAUUAACCCUGUCGGCAAAUAGUUCCAUGAAAUUCUCCAUACUGUAACUUUGAUUUUAUUUGGAAGAUUUAGGAGUCAAAGUUUUUUGUAAAAAUUCCUGUAAUCAAUUUGUAAAGCGUAAGCUCUAGGAAUUUCAUCAAAAGUUUGUAAUAGUUUAUAGGCACUGCAGACCGAAAACUCGCCUGAAUACGCGCCUCUUCAGACAAGUAGAUCAUUGUGAGGUGUGUAUGCUAAAGGUAUCCGGAGGAUUUUUCCAGCAUCUUCCUUUGAAAAGGUAUUCUUUAUAAGUUCUCUUUUCCAUGUUCUCUCAUUACUGUUGAUCAACUCACUAGCCUUGACAUCACACAUACAAUUAACAACUGAAGAUAAUUUAACAUUAACAGCAUCUGGAAUCCAAGCAUUAGCAUUGAUAGAAAUAUUUGUACCUGUACCAACCCUCCAACAUAUUCUUUUUUUCCAAAAUACCCUUCACUGCCCAUAUGCUUUUCCAUAUAUAAGAACUGGUUUUCCCCAAUCGAGAAUUUAAAAAAUAUUCAUUUGUGAAAUAUUUUGUUUUAAAAACUCACAUAACCAAAGAAUCUUGAUUAGUAAUAAUCCUCCACCCUUGCUUAGCUAGUAAUGAAAUAUUGAAUUGAGCUAGAUUUCUAAAGUCCAUUCUCCCUCCUCUUUUGAUCGACAUAUAAAUUUCCAUUAACACUAGUGUAUCCCUUUCCUUCCCUAUCCUUUUUGCCACCAGAAUUUAGCGAAAAUAUUUUCUAACUCCUCACAUAAUAAUUUUGGUAGGAGGAAACAUAUCAUAGCAUAAGUUGGAAUUGCUUGAAGAACAGAUUUUAUAAAGACCUCAUUUUCCC